rnacentral:rRNA from 1 species
GACGGAAGGUGCUAGCGUUGCUCGGAAUCACUGGGCGUAAAGCGCACGUAGGCGGCUUUCUAAGUCAGGGGUGAAAUCCUGGAGCUCAACUCCAGAACUGCCUUUGAUACUGGAGAGCUUGAGUCCGGAAGAGGUGAGUGGAACUCCGAGUGUAGAGGUGAAAUUCGUAGAUAUUCGGAAGAACACCAGUGGCGAAGGCGGCUCACUGGUCCGGUACUGACGCUGAGGUGCGAAAGCGUGGGGAGCAAACAGG